GUGCUUACUUAGGUAGCACAUAUACUAAAAUAGGAACAAUGGGGAGAACAUUAGCAUGGCCCCUGCAGAAGGAUGGCACACACAUUCAUGAACACUUCCAUAUUUUU
rnacentral:snRNA from 1 species